UACGUAGGGUCCGAGCGUUGUCCGGAAUUAUUGGGCGUAAAGAGUUCGUAGGCGGUUUGUCGCGUCGUUUUGUGAAAACUCACAGCUCAACUGUGAGCCUGCAGGCGAUACGGGCAGACUUGAGUACUGCAGGGGAGACUGGAAUUCCUGGUGUAGCGGUGAAAUGCGCAGAUAUCAGGAGGAACACCGGUGGCGAAGGCGGGUCGCUGGGCCGUUCCUGACGCUGAGACGCGAAAAGCGUGGGGAGCAAACAGG
rnacentral:rRNA from 1 species